AUUGAACGCUGGCGGCAUGCCUUACACAUGCAAGUCGAACGGCAGCACGGGAGCAAUCCUGGUGGCGAGUGGCGAACGGGUGAGUAAUGUAUCGGAACGUGCCCAGUCGUGGGGGAUAACGUAGCGAAAGCUACGCUAAUACCGCAUACGAUCUAUGGAUGAAAGCGGGGGAUCGCAAGACCUCGCGCGAUUGGAGCGGCCGAUAUCAGAUUAGGUAGUUGGUGGGGUAAAGGCCCACCAAGCCUGCGAUCUGUAGCUGGUCUGAGAGGACGACCCGCCGCACUGGAACCGAGACACGGUCCAGGCUCCUACGGGAGGCAGCAGUGGGGAAUUUUGGACGAUGGGCGCAAGCCUGAUCCAGCAAUGCCGCGUGCAGGAUGAAGGCCUUCAGGUUGUAAACUGCUUUUGUACGGAACGAAACGGCUUUUUCUAAUACAGAGAGCUAAUGACGGUACCGUAAGAAUAAGCACCGGCUAACUACGUGCCAGCCGCCGCGGUAAUAC
rnacentral:rRNA from 1 species